UAAUGCGUGCCAAGCCUGUUCAGGGUC
rnacentral:sRNA from 1 species